rnacentral:rRNA from 1 species
AAAUUGAAGAGUUUGAUCAUGGCUCAGAUUGAACGCUGGCGGCAGGCCUAACACAUGCAAGUCGAACGGUAGCACAGAGAGCUUGCUCUCGGGUGACGAGUGGCGGACGGGUGAGUAAUGUCUGGGAAACUGCCUGAUGGAGGGGGAUAACUACUGGAAACGGUGGCUAAUACCGCAUAACGUCGCAAGACCAAAGAGGGGGACCUUCGGGCCUCUUGCCAUCAGAUGUGCCCAGAUGGGAUUAGCUUGUUGGUGAGGUAACGGCUCACCAAGGCGACGAUCCCUAGCUGGUCUGAGAGGAUGACCAGCCACACUGGAACUGAGACACGGUCCAGACUCCUACGGGAGGCAGCAGUGGGGAAUAUUGCACAAUGGGCGCAAGCCUGAUGCAGCCAUGCCGCGUGUAUGAAGAAGGCCUUCGGGUUGUAAAGUACUUUCAGCGGGGAGGAAGGUGUUGUGGUUAAUAACCACAGCAAUUGACGUUACCCGCAGAAGAAGCACCGGCUAACUCCGU